rnacentral:rRNA from 1 species
AAUGGCAGGUCAGCAUACUGCCGUGAAUACGUUCCCGGGCCCUUGUACACACCGCCCGUCACACCAUGAGAGUUGGGGAUACCCGAAGCCUGUGAGCUAACUAUUUAUAGGAGCAGCAGUCGAAGGUAGAAUCAAUGAUUGGGGUGAAGUCGUAACAAGGUAUC